CAACCCCCAUUCGGCGGCUACAUCGCCGCACUCCAACGCCCAGCACACCGCCCCUUCAGCGCCCAGCGCGGCCGCCACCUGAAACCCCCCAUCCCACCUCCACCCCGUAUCGAUCUGCCGCUUCCUCGACGUGGCUCCGUGCCGCUUCCUCGAUCUGCCUCGCCGCCAGUUCCUCGAUCUGCCUCGCCGCCGUUUGGAUCGUUGCGGCGACGGCUUUGUCGGUCUUCAGCUCCGGCACCUACAUCUUAAAGGAGCACGAUCUCGUCGCUGGUAUGGAUCUGAACGCCACUCCUUCCCUGAUCUGACUGUUACGAAUAGGUGCAUGCUAGGUGAAACGCCACUAUAUCGAUGCAGGGGCAGAGACAUGGAGGGGCCAUGAGGGUUCAGACCCCUGCCAAUGGCUCGCCCCCUCAACGAUUCGUAGCAGACAGUGUGUGCUGUAUAUGCGUAAUGGCCGCAGCUAAUUGCAUAAUUAGCCCAUACGUACACAAAUAAUUAAACCAUCACUGAUGUAGUAAAGCUCCUUAAACCAUGUACGGUAGUGACUGACUAAUUUUGCGAUGGGCCAGUGCCUAAUCCAUCAAUCAGGUCGAUCCAUUCAUAUGUACCUACGAUACAUUAUAUCCCUAUGAACGAUGAGAGUGGAUUUUUUAUUUUAUAAAUUAAGACCUUAAACUGGUUAAUUAAUGUUUCAUAUAAGACAGCAAAGUAAUCUAGUAAUUAUGUGUCCUUUUAUAUAUAGUAGUCAAAAAUGAAAUGAAAGACAUGAACAACUAAUGUGGUAAAUUAUUUUUCGAACCAAUUGCUUCAACUUUGAGCUGCAACAUUCUUGUGGAGAAUUGUCAUUUUUUUAGUUCUAGACAACAAUUUUAUGAUUUAUCAUUGACACUUUCACAAGACUUAAUAUACUGUAAUAUUCCAUCUUUUACAUCAACAGUAGUGCUUUCCCCCCCUCAUGUUCAAAUAUUGGCUCAACCGAUGCAAGCUUUUUGGAGUUCCCUUGAUUGAAGGAUUGCUUUUGUUAAUCUCAAACUCAGAUGGACUUCCGUUUUCCCUUUUGUUUAGGGAAGCAGUCAACAUCAUCAGGACUUCUACUUGUAGGAGUCUCUAGCUUCUUUGAAGAUUUUGACAUCUCACCCAUCUUAAAUUAUUUGGUAUAUUUGCAUUGGAAUCAAUUUUCAGUGUCCCUGAUGUAGUGAUGAUUUUAUAUCGCCCUUAAUAGUUGGUGAAAUUGUAGAUGUGCAUACACUUGAUGUAGCAAUAUCAUGGCGAACAUCCACACUAAUAUUGUUUGUUGGCACACUGUGCCACCUUGGCUGCUGCUUCAUAAACGACUUAAUGGGAUGGCACAUGAGGCAACAUGCUGCUACUCUCCUGUCAUCUAGUGCUUAACAAAAUCUUAUCUGUCGCAUGAAUACUGCUAAGUUUGCAUAAUCUGUACAGUUUUCGACUUAAACAUGUCCUAAAUCCAUAUAUCGGCAACAUUAUAUCUGUGUGUGUGGCUGGACACAUGGUCUUGUACCUCCUCUCUCUAUUUUAGUUAUGAUAAGCUGAUGGUGCAUUGACAUGCUACUGUGUACUUCUCUGCCCUGUCCAUUCACAUGUUUCUUUUGGUAGGUUUCAUCGGUUCUGGGACCCAAAUUGCUGAGGGGACUUCCACAACUUGUAUUGCUUGAUUUCCCUGUCUGAGACUACAAUCUUGUCCUAGGUGGAUUCUCCUUUCUCCUUCCCUCAUUUAUCUGCUACGAAUUCAUGUCUAUUGGCAAAUUAAAUUGUCCCUGUUGAAGCCAAAAUUUACAAAUAUCCAUGAUGAGGCCUGAUGUCUCGUAUUAUGACUUAAUCUUGAUGAUCGAGGAAGUUAGCUUUCAGGCAAUUGACUUGCUGUUCUAUGCAAAAAAAAAACCCCGUCUAGGUAGCCCCUGCUUAGUUUACAUUUAUGAUCAAGGUCUUGUGAUGAAAAUGUUGUCCUACCCUGAGAUUGUGAAAGCUGUCCAUCUGUAUGUGUCUAAGGAGAAGGUCUUGAGUUUUGAAGUUGCAGCUUUCUGUAGCUUCAAGAUAUGAAUAUCAUUUCAUCUAAUAUUAUUGUCUCUUGGAAGGUGAGGGAAACGAGGGAUCUUACGGGCGAAUCUUUUCCAAGACUGAACCAGCAGGGGACUAGAACUGAACAGCCACACCCAGCUCGCUCAAAAAAAGGUGCACUUCUUCCAUCGAGGUAAAGAUCCGCCAAGGGGCAUGGUUUACUGCACCCAAAUUCCCAACCCAAACCACAUUAUCAUGCCUCCUUGAAAAAUGAAUUUUGUUACAAAUUUUGCCUAAUCUGCUAUAUGCAAGUAAACCAAGCAUUAGCAAGUGAGGUAACCUUGGGCAUUAGACUUCGAUGUCGGGUCCAGUUUAUUUAGUUUUUUGGGGCACCUAUACUGGGCUGACAUUAAGAGAGCUCAUGUUGUUCAUGCAAAUUAUAUUAUCAUUGUCGUCGAAUGCUAAUAUUGAUCAUAAUAUAGGCUGCUUCCAAAGUAAUAUUUGAAGUACUGAUCCAAGAACUAAGGCUCGUGGUAUUGAGUUAGGUGAUGAAUUUACCCAUGUGUGCAUAGAUCAACCUAUUCUUGAUAAUGAGGAGUUGGUAAGGGAAGUUUCCAAUUGCAAGACAAUUGGCGAGGCUUUCUCUUCGGGAUACUUAAUUGCAUGGCCUUUCGCUUUUGAAAGUUAAAAUAUUCUCUUACACAUUCUGAAAUCAUAUUUGUGUACAUUUAAUUACAUAUAUCUAAGGUGCAAUUUUCUUUUACAGAUUCGAGAGAAGGAUAAUUGAUUUGCAGCGGAAUUCUUGGAUCAAGAAGCAAAUAAAAUUUGAAGAUUUUAGCUACCAAUAGUCGUAGUUUACAUACAUAGAUUGAAAAAUGUAAUAUCAUCAAGAAGGAUCUUUUUCUUUUGUCGAAUUGAUGCAAAUGCUAUGUUGUAAUAUUCUCCAUAGUUGUGUUCUCUACGCUCAAAAUGAUAUGAAUGAUAUCUUUACUGUAAUGCAUACGUAUCAUAUGCUCUUGUAUAUUCGUAAUAAAUAGCUUCAUAUUUUGAAUUUCUAUAUGUGUUGUGCUUCAAUUUAUAUAUCAUUUUG
rnacentral:lncRNA from 1 species